GAAAGGGCACUCUAAUGAGACUGCCGGUGACAAACCGGAGGAAGGUGGGGAUGACGUCAAGUCCUCAUGGCCCUUAUGGGUAGGGCUUCACACGUCAUACAAUGGUACAUACAGAGGGCCGCCAACCCGCGAGGGGGAGCUAAUCCCAGAAAGUGUAUCGUAGUCCGGAUUGUAGUCUGCAACUCGACUACAUGAAGUUGGAAUCGCUAGUAAUCGCGGAUCAGCAUGUCGCGGUGAAUACGUUCCCGGGUCUUGUACAC
rnacentral:rRNA from 1 species